CGGUGACGAUGGGGCUUGCCCUGUCUGAUCAGUGGCGAACGGGUGAGUAACACGUGAGUAACCUGCCCCUCACUCUGGGAUAACCUCGGGAAAUCGUGGCUAAUACCGGAUAUGAGUUUCCACCGCAUGGUGGUUUCUGGAAAGUUUUUCGGUGAGGGAUGGACUCGCGGCCUAUCAGUUUGUUGGUGAGGUAAUGGCUCACCAAGGCGAUGACGGGUAGCCGGCCUGAGAGGGCGACCGGCCACACUGGGACUGAGACACGGCCCAGACUCCUACGGGAGGCAGCAGUGGGGAAUAUUGCACAAUGGGCGAAAGCCUGAUGCAGCGACGCCGCGUGAGGGAUGACGGCCUUCGGGUUGUAAACCUCUUUCAGCAGGGAAGAAGCGAGAGUGACGGUACCUGCAGAAGAAGCGCCGGCUAACUACGUGCCAGCAGCCGCGGUAAUACGUAGGGCGCAAGCGUUGUCCGGAAUUAUUGGGCGUAAAGAGCUUGUAGGUGGCUUGUCGCGUCUGCCGUGAAAACCCGAGGCUCAACCUCGGGCGUGCGGUGGGUACGGGCAGGCUAGAGUGUGGUAGGGGAGACUGGAACUCCUGGUGUAGCGGUGAAAUGCGCAGAUAUCAGGAAGAACACCGAUGGCGAAGGCAGGUCUCUGGGCCAUUACUGACACUGAGAAGCGAAAGCAUGGGGAGCGAACAGGAUUAGAUACCCUGGUAGUCCAUGCCGUAAACGUUGGGCACUAGGUGUGGGGGACAUUCCACGUUCUCCGCGCCGUAGCUAACGCAUUAAGUGCCCCGCCUGGGGAGUACGGCCGCAAGGCUAAAACUCAAAGGAAUUGACGGGGGCCCGCACAAGCGGCGGAGCAUGCGGAUUAAUUCGAUGCAACGCGAAGAACCUUACCAAGGCUUGACAUGCACCGGACAGCCCCAGAGAUGGGGUCUUCUUCGGACUGGUGCACAGGUGGUGCAUGGUUGUCGUCAGCUCGUGUCGUGAGAUGUUGGGUUAAGUCCCGCAACGAGCGCAACCCUCGUUCCAUGUUGCCAGCGCGUUAUGGCGGGGACUCAUGGGAAGAUUGCCGGGGUCAACUCGGAGGAA
rnacentral:rRNA from 1 species